UAUUCUGUGAUCUCUCAUAAUCUCCUCAUACCUCUUCUUCAUCAUUAUUCCCUCCCCUCCUUGUCCUCCAUCACCUACCAUCUCAUCUCUCUUAUCUUCCUCUACUGCCUGUUUUUCUCCUUCAUUCUCCUCCAGCUCCUGUUGUCCCCAAUCCCUUUCCAUGCCCCAGCACCUCCUGUUCUUCCCCAUCCUCCACUUCACACCUGUCCAGUUCUCCUGCAACCUUUCAUAGUCUUUUCGUCAUCCUUCACUUUCCAUCUCCUGUAUCUCUUUGUUCUCCUCUGCUUUCCACCAUCUCCUAUCCCUUUUCUUUUCUCCAUCUCUCACCUCUUCUUCUUUCACCUCAGUUUCUGUCCCUCCAGUCCACCUCCACCUUCCAUCCUUCCCCAUCCUCUUUCAGCUCUGGAUAUUGCCCUGUCUCUCCUCAUACAUUUUCUCCUGCUAUCUCACCAUCCCUUACCAUUGUUCACCUCUCAGUUUCACUUUCUCCUCAUACUCUCCCACUUCCCUAUCCCUCCUCAUUUUUUAAGCGUCCCACUUAUUUCACUGAUUUCCCCUCCACCUCUUCCUGACCUCCAGUCAUCCUCACCCAACUCACACUUCCCACUUUUGCCAUCCUUUCAUUCUCUUUCACCUCCCAACUCAAUCCUGCCUUCCAUCUUCUCCCAGCCCAUCCUCCUGCCAUUCUUUCUUUCUUCCAUCCUUCCUGCACUCUUACUGCUAGCACAUCUGCUGUUAUUGCCACCUUCUCUUCCUCCUUCCUUUGCCUUGUAUCCGAUCCCUCAACAACCCAGGAAAGUCACUUCCAUCCCUGUUGCAAGCAGGAAGGGCAGGGCUAGGUUGGAUGCAGAGACAGCCUCCCACCCCAUCCCUGCUACUCAAGACAUUUGCAUAGCAGCAGAGAUAGCCACAGCUUGCAGGUUGGAAGAUUCCUGCCAGACAUCAGGAAACACUUCUUUCUUGGUACAGCUGGUACUGGUCACUGGGGAAGUGGGAGGAUUUCUGCUCUUGGAAAAUUACAAAACUCAGCUGAAGUCACUGGUUCUGACUCGUUAG
rnacentral:lncRNA from 1 species